UGCAGUACGAGCGACAGAUGAGAAGCUUGCUUCUCUGAUGUUAGCGGCGGACGGGUGAGUAACACGUGGGUAACCUACCUAUAAGACUGGGAUAACUCCGGGAAACCGGGGCUAAUACCGGAUAAUAUUUUGAACCGCAUGGUUCAAUAGUGAAAGACGGUUUCGGCUGUCACUUAUAGAUGGACCCGCGCCGUAUUAGCUAGUUGGUAAGGUAACGGCUUACCAAGGCGACGAUACGUAGCCGACCUGAGAGGGUGAUCGGCCACACUGGAACUGAGACACGGUCCAGACUCCUACGGGAGGCAGCAGUAGGGAAUCUUCCGCAAUGGGCGAAAGCCUGACGGAGCAACGCCGCGUGAGUGAUGAAGGUCUUCGGAUCGUAAAACUCUGUUGUUAGGGAAGAACAAAUUUGUUAGUAACUGAACAAGUCUUGACGGUACCUAACCAGAAAGCCACGGCUAACUACGUGCCAGCAGCCGCGGUAAUACGUAGGUGGCAAGCGUUAUCCGGAAUUAUUGGGCGUAAAGCGCGCGUAGGCGGUUUCUUAAGUCUGAUGUGAAAGCCCACGGCUCAACCGUGGAGGGUCAUUGGAAACUGGGAAACUUGAGUGCAGAAGAGGAGAGUGGAAUUCCAUGUGUAGCGGUGAAAUGCGCAGAGAUAUGGAGGAACACCAGUGGCGAAGGCGGCUCUCUGGUCUGUAACUGACGCUGAUGUGCGAAAGCGUGGGGAUCAAACAGGAUUAGAUACCCUGGUAGUCCACGCCGUAAACGAUGAGUGCUAAGUGUUA
rnacentral:rRNA from 1 species